rnacentral:rRNA from 1 species
CCUACGGGUGGCAGCAGUGGGGAAUAUUGCACAAUGGGGGAAACCCUGAUGCAGCAACGCCGCGUGAGUGAAGAAGUAUUUCGGUAUGUAAAGCUCUAUCAGCAGGGAAGAAAAUGUCAGUACCUGACUAAGAAGCCCCGGCUAACUACGUGCCAGCAGCCGCGGUAAUACGUAGGGGGCAAGCGUUAUCCGGAUUUACUGGGUGUAAGGGGAGCGUAGUCGGCUGCGCAAGUCAGAAGUGAAAGCCCGGGGCUAAACCGGGGGACUGCUUUUGAAACUGUGUAGCUGGAGUGCAGGAGAGGUAAGAGGAAUGCGUGGUGUAGCGGGGAAAUGCGUAGAUAUUACGAGGAACACCGGUGGCGAAGGCGGCUUACUGGACUGUAACUGACGUUGAGGCUCGAAAGCGUGGGGAGCAAACAGGAUUAGAUACCCGAGUAGUC